rnacentral:misc_RNA from 1 species
AUGAACAUAAAUCAUGAAGCGCCGGGCCUCCUGAGCUCUUAGAUAAUCUGAAUCAGCCUCUGGUUUUUCUGAAGGUUCAUAUUCACCAGAUUUCUUCGCUUCACGGUUCCCUAGGCAGAAGAAUGUUAAGUAGUUCCGAAGAUUCUCCUCAAUACCCUUGGCUUUAAGAGCCUGCACAACAUCUCUAUACAUCACUUCCAUUGUCCUCUUCUGCCAAUCUAAUAUUGCCUGAACUGAU